AAUAGAUACCCGGGUAGUCCACGCCGUAAACGAUGAGUGCUAAGUGUUAGGGGGUUUCCGCCCCUUAGUGCUGCAGCUAACGCAUUAAGCACUCCGCCUGGGGAGUACGGUCGCAAGACUGAAACUCAAAGGAAUUGACGGGGGCCCGCACAAGCGGUGGAGCAUGUGGUUUAAUUCGAAGCAACGCGAAGAACCUUACCAGGUCUUGACAUCCCGCUGACCGCUAUGGAGACAUAGCUUUCCCUUCGGGGACAGCGGUGACAGGUGGUGCAUGGUUGUCGUCAGCUCGUGUCGUGAGAUGUUGGGUUAAGUCCCGCAACGAGCGCAACCCUUGAGAUUAGUUGCCAUCAUUCAGUUGGGCACUCUAAUCUGACUGCCGGUGAUAAACCGGAGGAAGGUGGGGAUGACGUCAAAUCAUCAUGCCCCUUAUGACCUGGGCUACACACGUGCUACAAUGGACGGUACAAACGGUUGCCAACCCGCGAGGGGGAGCCAAUCCGAUAAAACCGUUCUCAGUUCGGAUUGUAGG
rnacentral:rRNA from 1 species